AUACUGACCAUGGGAGAUUGCAUCUCAGUCCGUGCUCUGCUAAUGCUUCUGGCCCUAGUCAGCUAUCUAAUUGCACUGACAUUCAACAUAUUGGCUCUAUUUGGGCCCUGGACAGGUGCUUUCAUGCAAACCACACAGUAUGUACUGAGCAAGUCCACAACGCACCUAACCCCAGAUAGAUGGGUACUCUUUCUAUGGGAUGUCCUUAACAUCUGGUUGAUUGGCAUGUUCAUCUAUCUGAUACACAAUCUCCGUAGAAGGGAAGCUUAUACAUGGAUGUACACCACUCCUGCUGUCCUGCCCUAUGGAUUCUACUUGUCCUGGAUCGUAAAUAGCAUGUUGAAUAUGGCAUGGUUAUUUCUGUACGACAAAGACUUCUGUGUGUGUCAUAGAAAGAUGGUGCCAACGCUCCUGAUCACAGCAUUACAGGCCAUCUCAAAUUGCGUGAUUAUCAUGUUCUCCUGCUGCGGACUGGUCGUCUAUGGAGCGUGGCUCCACAAAUAUCACAACAAUGAUCUCUGGCUCAUUCGAAUAUUGGUGCAAAACGGAGUGGCUUUGUAUGCAACAUGGUGGGCUGUGGCUACCUUUUUACACUUGACCGUUGUUUUAGACCAUCAAACCCCAAUACCCAAGACAGACGCUGCCAUAAUGGUACUAGUGCUGCUCCAAUUGGGACUCAUAGGAUGGUUUGUCAUAGAGAACUGGUACCUGGAUAAGCACGUGCGCUACAUCCUCACAGUGUACCCUGUGGUGAUCCUGGUGUUGGCAGCGAGUGUGGCCAAUCCAGCCACGCCCGGUACCCACAUAGACAUCAUGUCUGCCGUCAUCUUGGCCAUAACCAGUGUCAUAUUUAUUGUACGCAUCAUCAUGGUGUUAUGGAAGCACAAGCAUCAACCACUUUACGGAGAAGAGGAGCUCAGGUCACCGGUGGACAUUGCCAGGACACAGAAGCUCAUCUUCAUGUGA
rnacentral:lncRNA from 1 species